AAGACAAGGCCGAGGCUCUAAAAGCCAAGCUCUAAAAGACAAAGCAAGUCAAGGUUAUUUUCAGUUUGGAGAGGUCCUUUCGCAGCUCUUCACAGCCUUUGGUGAGGAACUUCGCUGGAAGUCCAGGUCGCUGACAGGCAAUACCCCCUCCCUCUCACAAAGGCACAGUUAGAGGAAGUUCACGUUUCACCUUCUUGCCAGAAAAAACCCUGAGCUCCAACAAUCCAGGAGGGUUACAGAACUGAAGGGAAGCAUGUUCUGGCCUCAUCAACCAGGCAGAAGUUCUGGACGACUGUGCCUGGGAAGAGGUGUUUUAUUUUACAUUAUGACCAUGUGUUAGAAGCUGCUUUGAAAAUCACUGAAAUAAAGGCAAAAACUUUCCAAAUAAUUAAAAAGCUGUAAAUUCAAUUAACUUCAAGAGGAUUGUUUUUACCAUUUAUUGGCCAUUUGGAAACGAGUUCUCCAUUAUUCAU